GUGGGGACGAAAGUCUCUGCUUUUAACUAGAUAGCAACUUUCAGCAGUGGAUGUCUAGGCUCGCACAUCGAUGAAGAACGCUGCGAACUGCGAUACGUAAUGCGAAUUGCAGGAUUCAGUGAGUCAUCGAAAUUUUGAACGCAUAUUGCACUUCCGGGUU
rnacentral:rRNA from 1 species